CCGCGGUGAAUACGUUCCCGGGUCUUGUACACACCGCCCGUCACACCACGAGAGUUUGUAACACCCGAAGCCGGUGAGGUAACCUUUUAGGAGCCAGCCGUCUAAGGUGGGAUAGAUAAUUGGGGUGAAGUCGUAACAAGGUAGCCGUAUCGGAAGGUGCGGCUGGAUCACCUCCUUU
rnacentral:rRNA from 2 species